ACUGAGCCAAAUUGUGUUUCUUUCUGCCCUAAUCGGAGCCAUCUUUCCCUAUUUCUGGGCUCCAGGGUCAGGGUGGGUUUCUUUAGCCAGCCCCUUUUCCCUACAGUAUCAGUCAGGAUAAUUAUUUUGCAGCCUUUCCCAGGAACCCUGAGAACAUUUUGAAAUGUACCAGCUACCUCUCAAUAGACCCCAUAGGCCCAGAAAAUGGUGCAUGGCUUUAAAUGUCUCCAAAGACAGUCUGAGCAGAAAAUGAAUGAUUUAAUACAGAACAGCUAUAAGAGCUACACAUGGUUAGAAUGUCUCCCACCCAGGGAUGUCCUUCCUGAAGACAGUUGAAGCCAAGGGUGGUCGAGUUCCCAUUGAAGCCCUGCUGGCCGGGGCAACUGGCGCCCAAAGUGGAUUGAACCACCUCUUAAGGUUCGGAACGUCGUCUCCCGGAGGAAGACCAAGGGCUUGGUGAAGUUGUUGCAUCCCCCUGAAAUGGCCCGGUUCAGGACUCGAUCCCAGAGGAGAGCGGAGAUGACACAGGACCUGUUGCAGGCCUGCUCCUGGUCCUUGCCUUUGGGCCAUGGGUACUUUCCUGGCUCACUCGGUUCAUCCAAAGCCAAAUAACAAACCUGCGGGCCAGGCAGAUCCAGGUUCAUUACCACCACCUUGAUAUGCAGGACUCCAGGGUUGAAAUUUCCCCUGAUGAGAUGCCCCACACAGACCCCUUCACUCGGGGGAGGCUGCACCUGUGUGUGAGAAAAAGGCUCACUCAAGGCAUGAUUGGAGUGCAGCUGGAACUGCACAGGCUGGGGACCAUGGUACCCCAAAAUCCUGAGAGCCUGGAUUAUAUGCCCUGUUGCAUAGCAGUUGUGCAGUAGCAGCCUUGCGCUUAUCCAUUUCCGCUCCCUCAAAAAACUGCAUGGUCCAUUGAUUCCCGCACUAUGGGGACACCCCUGGUGCUUGAGUCUGGAGAGACAUUCCCUCUCGGACCUUUUCACAACCUUUAGAGCGAUAGGGCCUCUGUAAUCCUCCAUGCAAAGCCUCUUUCAGAGCCCUCCUUUUAGACCAUUCGAACCUGGUUUAUGUUGGCCCUUAGAUUAUUACUAAGAAGGGGGAGAUGUCAGGGACAAGGACAGAAUCUCUAGUUAGUGGAAAAAUACAGACCCCCAUAAGUCAGGGAACUAGAACAUCUUACAGACAGGUUGCCUAGCAACAUGACAUUGAGUCAGAGCCCUUGACAUUUUCACCCUGUAAACAUCCUGCAUAAACAUCCUACACAAACAUCCUGUUAGCUUGCCCCACCCUAUGCAGAUAACAGCUUCUUGUUCCCCCCAUCCUGCAGGGACUAUAUAAACCCUCCUGGAGAAAAAUAAAGUUGCACCUU